UCGGCCUAUCCCCGCCCCGCGGCGAACCGAACCGUGAGGCAAGGCGAUGAGCGCGGCUGGCGCGGGCGUGGGCGGUCGCCGCUGGGCGCGACUGUCCCGCCUCGUCUCCUUCAGCGCGACCCACCGGCUCCACAGCAAAUGUCUGAGUAACGAAGAAAACUUGAAACUGUAUGGGAAAUGCAACAAUCCAAAUGGCCAUGGGCACAAUUAUAAAGUUGUGGUGACAGUUCAUGGAGAGAUUGAUCCUGUUUCAGGCAUGGUUAUGAAUAUGACCGACCUCAAAGAGUACAUGGAGGAGGCAAUUAUGAAGCCCCUUGAUCAUAAGAAUCUGGAUCUAGAUGUGCCAUACUUUGCAGAUAUUGUAAGCUCCAUAGAAGGAGGUAGGAGAGAAGGAAGAGGACAGAGAAGGGAGGAGAAGGACCAGGAGCUCCAGGAUGGUUUGAAGUUGGAGACGAUAGCCUGUGAAAGGAAGCUUCCACACCUAUGGAAAACCGAGAGAGAUCUGGGAAUUUGAGCUUCUAUCAAAAGGGAAAAAUCACAGUCCAUACAAGGAGAAGGAGAUACGCACAGCAGCAGGGAAGAUGGCCCCUUCUGCAUGGAGAGAUUCCACUGAGGUGGUGCCUGGGAGCUGCUCAUACCUCCUCCAGAGGGGAAUUCCAAGGAUCGCAGGCUUCACCCCAACCUUGAGCAAUGAAAGAUAAGUGCCAGGAAAUGACAAGGACAACCUUGGAGGCCACAUGAUGAAGACAGCAGAACUUUUGUUAGCCUGGGUGCUCCUGGGUGGAGAGCUGCUCUUGAAAACUGGGAACAUUUGCCUUGGGCUGUUUUGGAGGAAACAAGCCCAUGAAGUGCUGUUCAGUGACACCUCCAAGGCCGUGGGCAGAGUCCAGAUUGGAACGGAGUCCUGGAGUACCCACACGUCUUUCCUUCAUUCUCCUUGCUGUUCCUGUGCUAUCUCACCCUGGUGAGGCCAACAUAACCACAGGAGGUGAGGACACUGAGAUCCGGAGAAGGACUGUGAUAGCCCAAGGCCACACACGGUAGCGUGCGUGCCCUAGGUGGCUGACUACCCUGGCUGUGCUGAGCAUCUAUAGCAGACAUGAGUACCCAGACAGCAGUAACCAGGAAAGCUGCAGGGAAAACGUCUGGGAGAGAAACCCCAGUGCCCUUUGAUGGGAAAUCAAGUAAGUGAAAGUGAGAUGUGAAGGAGCUUUGUAGGUUGCAGAGUGUAAGAGAUUCCUUUCCUUCCUCCUUUUCUUCCUUCUUCUCUUCCUUGCUCUUCCCUCCCUUCUCCAUCUGUUGGGCAGUGGCUUCCUAGAGGCACAGAAAGAUGGUCCUGUUCCCACAAUUCAUAGUGGAGAGGGGAGGUCAGACGCACAAGUAAGUGACAUUAUUUCUUUGAUUUUAAGAUGCACUCUCAAUACAAUAAGACGUUUGAGACAAAUAAAAUCAGAAACAGUACCACAUUAAAUGUACACAUGGUUUGCAAAACAUCCUUUUUUUGGAAACACACAGGUGUGAAAAAAAAGGUGUGUUUUAAAAUUGAGUGCUGUGGGCAGAGUGGUCAUUAUCACAAUAGUAGUGGGUUCAGUGACCUAUCAGAACAUAAAACUGCGGGGGCGGGGGAGGGGAUGUCUCUGUGUUAGAAGUGGUAGUUAGAGCCGUGUGAUCAUUGUCAUAAUGGUGGGGGGAGGCACUAGGCGCCCCUGGAACCCACUGAAGGAAGCUCUUAAUGCUGCCCGGGGACACCAGGUAAGGUUUCAGUGGGAGGUGGUGUUGGAAGGCCACCUUCUAGGUGAACGGUGGUGGGCAAGCAUGGCUAAAGAGUCCAGAGGAGGGGGGUCCCUGCAGGGGAGCAGCUCUGGCAGGGGCAGGAGGCAAAGGAGAGUACUGUGCAUUCUCAGAGCAACUGCUGGUCAUCAUGGUGAUUGUUAUUAGCAAUGGAGGAAACGAGGGGGCCUUCAGUCUGGAGGUGGCUGGCCACAUCUCAUCACAAAGAUAACAGGGAAGGAGAGGCAGGCUUUGCAGGGCAACAGAAGGUUCAUCUCUGCUGAAUUUGCCCAUAUCUUGGAAAGUUUCUGUUUGCUAUUUACGUAAGUCCUCAAUCGAUUACCUGAAGCAAACAUGAUGGGUUCUCAAAUAGUUAGAAAAUACAACAGAUUUCAGUCAAUAGAUUCAGAAUUCUUCAUUGAAUCUGCUUGCUUAUUCCCUUCAACCUUUUCUCCAGGGGAAGUAUGCCCUUUAGAAGUGAUUGAUUAUGUUGCCCCUGGGCACUUGCACCUCUUACAGGUUUGUUUUUUUUUUUUUUCUCUCUCUGUCUGUCUCCCUCUCUCUCUGUCUUUCUCUUCUUCCCCAUGGUUGUCAAAGCUGCAUAAGCUGCAACAUCAGGCAGGCAUCAAGGAAUAUAUUUUUUGUUCAGAUGUGUGUGUGCAUGUGAGGCUGUCUCUGAAUUGCAUCCUCAUAGAAUAACCUUUGGGUGUUUGCAUGAUGAGGAUGCUAUUAGCAGGAAAUUCAUUUUUUCUUGGUCCCAGGACAGGGAGAAAGCUACCACAGUAUUGAAAGGAAGCCCAGUAAACAGUAAGUAGGAAGGCCUGGAAAAAGAGAUGGACAGUAUUGGAUUAAUUAGGACAUUCUCCUGGGCUAUGUCUCUUUAUGCUCCUGGGGGGAUGGAUAUUCUCUUGGGGCAGAGAAGCCCCCUCUGGUCCUUUCUGCACUCACUUAUUAGCUCAGCCCAUCCUGGGCCUGGGGGAGAGAAUCUCCUGGCUGCCCCCCCCCUCACCCCCUUAAUGCUCUUUCUCAGCUCUGGGAGGCCCAUGGGCUGUCAGAGUAACCACUGGGAUGGAAAGGCACCCACCGGGAGCCACCGCCCUGGCUCCUCCUGCUGGUUCUGCCGCUGGAGCCUCUUUGGAUCAUGUUUGCUCAUGUGAAAUCAGGCCGUUUACUAGUUAAUCUCUAAGGUUGUGCCUCAGCUCUAUGACAGUAAUUCAGACAAGAAUAGACACCGUUGUUGCUGAAUGUUUAUACUGUGUGCCAGGCAUUCUGCUGAGAGCUUCCCUCAUUUAAUCCGCAUGGCAACUCUGUGUGGUUCAUAUUCUUAUUAUCUCAUUUUACAAAUGAGGAACCGAGGCUCCGAGAUAUUGGCUGCUUAGUCCUGGGGAAUGUAAGUGGAAAGUGGCAGAACUGGAGUGAGCCCAUGUCUCUGAUUCUGCAACCCACAUGUUUGAUUCAUUUUCUUAGUCAAGCUGCUAUAACAAAACCCACUGACUCCAUGGCUUAAACAACAAACGUCUAUUUCUCUCAGCUGGGAGGCUGGAAGCCCAAGAUCAAGAUGUCUGCAGAUUCCGUGCCUGCUGAGAUCUCUCUUCCCGGUUUACAGAUGGCUGCCUUCUUGCUGUGUCUUCCCACAGCACACACAGAGAGAGAGGGAGAGAGGGAGGGAGCAAGAGUUCUAGUCUCUUCCUCUUCUUAUAAGGACAUUAAUCCCAUGAUAAGGAUCCUACCCUGAUGAACUCCUGUAAACCUAGUCAUGUCCCAAGGGCCCCACCUCCUAAUACCACUGCCUCGUGAAGUUAGGGCUUCAACAUAUGGGUUUCAUAGGAACACACACAUUCAGCCCAUAAUAGAUGUUAUGCAUCUUGCCUCCUUCCAUGAUUUGGAGAGAGUGUGAGUGAGGCUUGAGUCACCCUUAGGAGCAAUAGGAGGGCCUCUGCUCCCCACCUCCAGCACGGCACAGAGAGGGAGUAGUCAGGUGUAGAGUCGCUUUGCCUGAGAGCAGGACUCUGGGAGCUGGUGAACAGGGAUCCUGCGUAAUGUUUAUGAAGGCAGACACUCGGAGACAAGCUACUUCCCAGGAGUAUCUGUGACCAUCUGUGAACAUCCAUCCAUUUGUUCCACAAAUAUCUUUUGAAUACCUACACUCUUUCAGCGACUGGGAAUCCAGUGGUGAACAAGACAGGGAGCUUACCUUUUAGUAGGGAAAAAAGGCAUCAGCUAAUAAUACAAAUGAAUAGGUAAUUUAAAAUCAUGUUAAAUACUAGGAAAGACUAUACAGAGUGCUAUGAGGAUACUCCUGAGGGCCAGAUUUGGUCCUGGUGGAAGAUGUGGUCAUCACAGUUCUUCCUGAAGAAGUGGUUGCUGAGCAGAGCUCUUGGGGAUCUGAAGGCUUUAAGUAGACACA